rnacentral:hammerhead_ribozyme from 1 species
AUCCAGAUGACGAGUCCCAAAUAGGACGAAAUGUGCACUCUGGAU